AAAUGCAACACCUGUUGUUUCCCAAGACAAACAAGAGACAACACAGAGCUUGUGCAGGGAGUGGAAGGGAUAGAGAAUGCAACAUCUGAACAAGGAAACCCCCAGCAGACCCCACAGACAGUGAGCCACUACACCAACGACUUCGCCUACACACAGUUAUGUGGGAUACUGUGCGCCAUCUGGAACGGCCUGAUCAUUGACAGAUACAACGGCACGCGACAGGCAGCUUUCCAGUCUGCCAUUUUGGGAAGCUGUUUGGUCUGUUAUUUGUUCUGUCGACCCUGGUGUUGCUCCUGCAAUUCCCCUGCAUCAUCCUGGUGAAUGAGGUGUUGGAUGGAGACCCCUUAUAUAUAAACAUAGCCCUGUGCAUCCUGUGCCUGGCCACAUUCAUUCACCCGGCCUAUGUCUAUAUCCGCUGGUGCAGAUUGGCCAAUCAGAGAAGACGCUCCGCCCAGCCACCUCCCAACGAUGAGAACGCCUUCUCUGGAGACAAUGAAGACCAACCCCAGGAUGUCCCAGGCUCCCCUACAAAGGACACUUAGGCACCCCUAAAAGUGACACUCAGAAGGUCUGCUGUUUUCUCAGGGUGCUCCUCUUUCCCCAAUCCACUGGUUCAUGGCGAUAAAUGGUGGCCAUGCUUGUUAAAGAAAGGAUUUUUGGGGGGUUCAGGCUUGGCUAUUCCUAUCAGGUUUAUGUGACAGUGUCUCUGAAAAAACCUUCCAAGUAAAAUUGACACCAUUUAGAUGUCAGGUUUGCUUCUGUUCAAUUAGAUAUUAACUCUAAAAGGCUUUUUGACCUGGGUGCCCAAAUCUUUGCACACUACUGUAUGUUAUCUGCAAGUAAAGGAAAGCGCUUAUUUAUUUAUAUUGCCAUGCACUGUGGGGUAUU